GUGCUUGCUUUGGCUGCACAUACGCUGAAGUCGGAAUGAUACAGAGAAUAUAAGCAUGGUCGCUGGGCAAGGAUGACACGCAAAUUCAUGAAACAUUCCACUUAAAA
rnacentral:snRNA from 1 species